GCAAACCACCAUACUGUCUUCUUCUCCUAUCUUCGAUACUAAGCAAUAGUGCCAGAGCUAACUUUUAUAUACGCUAAAUUUUGUUUCUCUUGUUCGAUUUAUCAGGCGAGAUCUACCAGAUCUGGCUAAUUGCUGGCAAAGUUCAAGCCCUGUUACACCUGGGCUGAUGUCGGUGGUGCUCUGGAUUGUGCCUUUGGCUAUACUCCCGAGUAUCUCCACUAUGCUGCUAAACACAAAGCGUAUGCCUGGAUACAAACGUUUUUUUUUUUAAGUGAUAAUGAACUUUUUGCUUUUGAUUUUGUCACUUGGGUCUAUGCCGGGUUCUAUGCAGGUUUGUCCUCUUGGAUGAGUCCUUCUUGGUUGAGAUCAGAAUGACGUUAAGAGCAAUAAUUGAGUUUGCUUGCGGCACUUAUGGUAUACUUUUUACAUAUGUGACCGCACGGAUAUCUUCAAUUCAUCAAAGAAGAGUUAAAACCGGGAUCUCUUUCUGUUCCUAUACUUCCUUCUCAUCAUCGUUUCAGCGUUGACUUCCUUCACGAUUCAGAAUGAUAAAUCAGCAUUCACCGGAAAAGCCAUCAUGUACUUGAAAAAAGGCAUCAAACCGAGGAGUGGAAAGGCUGGAUGCAGGUCCUCUUUUUGAAUACUAUAAUGCCAAUCCGUGUCUUCAUUGCUUGCUACGUAUGGAUGACUGGAUUUGGGAAUUUUUAUUAUUAUGACUUUAGCCUUCCAAGGUUUGCACAGGUAGCUAUGUCCUCCCGGCCUUGAUCGGUACAUAUGGAUAAUAGGGAUGCUAUAUGCAUACUACCACCCAAAUGUUGAAAGUUGGAUACUGGAGGAAGCUGAGAUGAAGUUCAGGAUGGCUAAUCAAAACAACUGUGGCACUUAUAGCAAUAACGGUGGGAUAUUUUUGGUACGAGUACAUAUACAAGCUGGACAAGCUAACUUGCAACAGAUAUCAUCCUUACACCUCUUGGAUUCCUAUAACUGUUUAUAUCUGUCUCCGGAACAUCACUCAGUCUUUCCGCGGCUACAGUGUUUAUAUCUGUCUCAUGAACAGUCUCUCAGUCAAUAGUGAUAUUCGUCCUCUUGUUACGAUUUUUCCAAAAAAAAUCUGAUCAUGAACUUCCAGGUGGCUUGGGAAGAUAACACUGAAGACAUAUAUCUCCCAGUUUCAUAUAUGGCUCAGGUAUGUCACACAUUUUAUAUCUCCCAGGAGCACUUGGGAGCAAGAUUAACUGGAGCUGGAUGGGGGAGGUGGCGCAGUGGCCUUGGUUAAGUGUACCAUAGAAGAAACAGAGAGGAUCUACGAUGUCGUCGUCGCCGCCGCCGGGGAAAAAGAGAUCACGAUCGAUUACUACGUUUGAGUCUCUUACGCAUGACUUAGUAUUGAGCAUCGUCGCACGCGUGCCAAGAGAGUACUAUCCGACUCUCUCCCUCGUAUCCAAGAGAUUUAGAUCUCUCCUAGUUUCACCGGAGCUUUACAAGGCCCGAUCUCUCUCCGGCCACACCGAGUGUUGUCUCUAUGUGUGCAUAGAGGACGAUCCUGAUUAUCACUGGUUCACCCUCAGCCGGAAACCUGAUCAAACCCUAACCAGCGAUGAUGAUGAUGAUGAUGAUGAUGAUGAUGAUGAUGAUGAUGAUGAUGAUGAUGAUGAUGAUGAUGAUGAUGAU